AAGGCAGAUAUCCGGAGAAAGGAUAUGUGCAAAACCAAAAUAUAAUAACUAAAGGAACAGAUAAAUAAACUAAUUAAUUAUCUGUUCCUUUAGUUAUUAUAUUUUGGUUUUGCACAUAUCCUUUCUCUGGAUAUCUGCCUU